GAGAACUGAUCAAGUAAAAGCUGGAAUGAUGGCGUAACGUCCUGAAACAGCUUCCCUGAUCCUCCGAUAUGCGAUUGAAAGGUAAAAUUCAAACGUAUAAAGCUCGGUAAAGUCAGCUGAGAGAAGCCGUAAAUAAAGAAUACUUCUUUAUACGAAAAAGAUCUAGGUCUCGCUUCCUAUAGGCUGGGGGUCUCAUAA
rnacentral:ncRNA from 1 species